rnacentral:misc_RNA from 1 species
GAACUGCGAUAAGUAAUGUGAAUUGCAGAAUUCAGUGAAUCAUCGAGUCUUUGAACGCACAUUGCGCCCCCUGGCAUUCCGGGGGGCAUGCCUGUCCGAGCGUCAUUGCUGCCCUUCAAGCCCGGCUUGUGUGUUGGGUCGUCGUCCCCUCCGGGGGACGGGCCCGAAAGGCAGCGGCGGCACCGCGUCCGGUCCUCGAGCGUAUGGGACUUUGUCACCCGCUCGAUAAGGACCGGCCGGGCGCCAGCCGGCGUCUCCAACCUUUUUUUCUCAGGUUGACCUCGGAUCAGGUAGGGAUACCCGCUGAACUUAAGC